AAUAAAUAUCUAAAAUUAUAUAUGUUUAUUAUAUCAAAACAAAGCCUGGGAUUUUAAAGUUUUAAUUAAAUAUAAAAUUGAUGAUCUAUCUUUCUGUUAUCUGGAUAAUACUCUCUAGAAUUGUUACAUUUCCUUCUUGAUCCAUAGUAAUCCUUUUCAUUACUAUGCAUGCUUUUCAUGAGAAUAAAGUGUUAUCAUUAGAUUUUGGCAAUGUCCACCAAUGCUGAAAGCAAUUCAGAAACAGAUGGAGACCAGGAGGUGUAUAGAUGGCAGGAGUGUGGGGGAGUGGGAGACAGCAAAGGAGCCAUUCAAGUUAAAAAUAUUGGAACAGCUGAAUCAAAGCUGAGCUUUAUUAAAGUUUCCAGUUUCUAUUAUGAAAUUUGGAAAUGUUACUAUUCUGUAAUUCCUCUAGGGGUUUCUACUUGCCUUUUUUCAGACUGGAGAGGAAAUGGCAAGCAGCCUUGUUCUAUCAUCAGUCCCAGGGAGCUCUUGCAUCUCCAGCCCUCAUGCUCUGUGUGUAUGCCAGCAAGUUGAUAAUUCCAAGAAGAUGAUCUCAUGUCAGGCACUUGGGAAAGAGAAAGAAAAAUUAUCAAGGAUAAAGGAUGGGAAUACAUAGUGAUAAAGGGGUCAAUUCUCCAAGAAGAUAUAACAAUUCCUUUUUUUUUUUUUUUUGAGACGGAGUCUCGCUGUGUCCGCAGGCUGGAGUGUAGUAGCGCGAUCUCCACUCACUGCAAGCUCCGCCUCCCUGGUUCACGCCAUUCUCCUACCUCAGCCUCCCAAGUAGCUGGGACUACAGGUGUCUGCCACUAUGCCCAGCUAAUUUUGUUUUUGUAUUUUUAGUAGAGACAGGGUUCCACCAUGUUAGCCAGGAUGUUCUCGAUCUCCUGACCUCGUGAUCCGCCUGCCUCGGCCUCCCAAAGUACUGGGAUUACAGGCGUGAGCCACCGCGCCCGGCCGAUAUAACAAUUCUUAAUGUGUAUGCACCUAACAGCAGCGCAUCAAAAUACAUGAGGCAAAAACUGACAGAACUUCAAGGAAAAAUAAAUGAAUCCAUUAUUAUAGUUGGAGACUUCAACACCUCUCUAUUAGAAAUAGAUCCAACAGGCAGAAAAUCAGCAAGGAUGUGGUUGAACUCAACAGCACAAUCAAUCAACUGGAUAUAAUGGACAUCCAUAAACUACUUCAUCCAGCAACAAGAGAAUACAUAUUUGGCUCAAGCUCGUGAAAUAUCUGCUAGGACAGACCACAUUGUGGGCAAUAAAACAAAUCUGAACAAGUUUAAAGGAAUCAAAAUCAUGCAAUGUCUGCUCUCAGACCACAGUGAAAUUAAUCUAGAAGUCAAUAACAGAAAGCUGGAAAAUCCUAAAUACUUGAAGAUUAAACAACGUAUUUCUAAAUCACACAUGGUUUAAUGAAAAAAAUCUCAAGAGAAAUUAAAAAUUAUUUUGAAUUAAAUGAAAAUGAAAGUGCAACUUCUCAAAAUCUGUGGGAUGCAGUCAAAGCAGUGAUUAAAGGGAAAUACACAGCUUUGAAUAACUGAGUUGUUAAAAAUGCAGAUUCUGGGUUCUUGCUACUGAGCAAUUGAAUUGGAUCUCUGAAGUUGAAGUGGAGCUUAUGAAACUUCGAUUUAAAUACCAGACUCAGGUGAUUUUAAUGCACCCUAAAAUUGGAAAGUUCCUGUUAAAUCUUUGUAAAGUUUCAAUUUGUUAAUCAUGAAAAUAAAUACCAAUCCAUUAGCAUUGAACCUUUCUGAGGAACCUAAUUCAUUUGGUAGAAGUGAAAAAUUUCUGCUUUUUUUUCAGUAACAGCCCCCUGCCAUUUUGUGCUAUUUAAAUAUACGUUUCCACUGGCUAGAAACAUGCUUAAAACAUCUUAAGCCAGAUCCUGUAGCUUCUCAGCCAAUUUUAACCUGGUGCUUACUAUUCACAUUUCUUUA
rnacentral:lncRNA from 10 species